rnacentral:rRNA from 1 species
GAUUCCCCUAGUAACUGCGAGUGAAGCGGGAAAAGCUCAAAUUUAAAAUCUGGUGGCCUUUGGUCAUCCGAGUUGUAGUCUGGAGAAGUGCUUUCCGCGUUGGACCGUGUAUAAGUCUCUUGGAAUAGAGCGUCAUAGAGGGUGAGAAUCCCGUCUUUGACACGGACUACCAGUGCUUUGUGAUGCGCUCUCAAAGAGUCGAGUUGUUUGGGAAUGCAGCUCAAAAUGGGUGGUA